rnacentral:tRNA from 1 species
AAGUAGGAUAAUCUAAGAAAGGAUCUAGGGUUCAUGCCCCUAAAGUGUUUUAUAACUCCUAUUUA